UUAUGUUUUAUGACGCAACUACAUAGAAAUGGUUUUUUCAUUUUGACGAGGAAGGCACAUUUGUGAUCUUUUAAUAUUUAACGUACUUAAGUGCCCGUGAACUUACGGUGAAAUAUUUAAAAAAUCACAUUUUUCAUUGGUGUUUUUAGAGUGUUGUACCGUUGAUCUUAUGUGGGAAAACUAGAAAUGUAGAAAAAGCCGAAAUAUCGUUUUAACCCUUUUUUUCAACCUGAAAUACUCGCGAAGAUGAUUGUUAUAGUGGGUUGCAGCAUAGUGAUCUUAGCCACGAUUGUGGCUAUAAUGAGAUCGAAGAAACCGUUGAAGGUGAUAUUGGCCGAAGCUAAGUUCGAGAUGUUGUACAACAUUUUGGGAUCGAAAUAUUUGAUGCACGAUUUUCUUAUGAGGAAGAAAAAUAGGGUUGAUUUACCAAUGAAGUCCGGCAAGACGGCCUUAAUUACCGGCGGUACUCGGGGCAUCGGCCUUUCGGUAGUUAAACAUUUACUCAAAUGUGAUAUUAACGUAAUUAUAGGUUGUAGAAACGUACAGGCAGCAGAAAAUUUACUGCCGAAAAUCCGCGAAGAAGACGAGAUCAAAACGGGCAACAUCGAAGUCCAUCAGUUGGACAUCAGCGUGCUCGAAUCGGUGCGAAAAUUCGCCGAAAAAGUGAAAAGCAAACACGAACAAAUCGAUUAUUUAAUUAACAAUGCUGGCAUCAUGUUUGGACCCCAAGUAGAAUCCAGAGACGGUUACGAGUCCCAAUUCGCCACAAACUACUUGGGGCAUUUUCUACUCACGCAUUUACUCUUACCGGAACUAAAAAAAGCCGGAACUGAAACAUCCCAUUCUAGGAUAGUAAACGUUUCAUCGUGCGCCCACGUUUUAGGCAACAUCCAUUUUGAAGAUAUAAAUUUCAGGAAUCGCUAUAUUCCGGCUGAAGCUUACGCUCAGUCGAAACUGGCUCAAAUAUUAUUUUCAAAUUUUUUGAACGCGUUGAUGGUAAAGGAGGGCGAGUAUGUGCAAGUGCAUUCGGUGCAUCCCGGAGUUGUUAAUACGGAUUUGUUUAAUGAUACUAGUUUGAAGACGGUGGCGCCCUGGUUACCAAAGUUGUUUUUCAAGGUCUAUAAAUAGGAAUAAGAAAGGACUGGAACAAAUAACUUCAAUCAAGAGCCAACGCAAGCACUAAAGAUGCCAUAUACCAAUUACUUGAGCAUGUUUAUGAGAGUAUUAAUGACAAACAUUUGACUGUAUCUAUCUCGGUCAGGGCAGGAUCCAUCUCUUCUGCAGAGCGUUAUUAACGAGGACUUGCACAAAAUAAAAUGCUGGUUUGAUGAAAACAGACUCCAGAUCAAGGCUCUUACCCCAUACUUUACGCUUGCUUGUCACCACUUCUAGAAGGAAAAGGGGGCACUUACAUACACAAUUGCGUCGAGUUUACUCCCAGCGAAAAGGCCCUCGAUGCAGAUUUACAAGAGA